rnacentral:rRNA from 1 species
UCCAGCCAUGCCGCGUGCAGGAUGAAGGCCUUCGGGUUGUAAACUGCUUUUGUACGGAACGAAAAGGUUUGGCCUAAUAAGCUGAGCUCAUGACGGUACCGUAAGAAUAAGCACCGGCUAACUACGUGCCAGCAGCCGCGGUAAUACGUAGGGUGCGAGCGUUAAUCGGAAUUACUGGGCGUAAAGCGUGCGCAGGCGGUUAUGUAAGACAGAUGUGAAAUCCCCGGGCUCAACCUGGGAACUGCAUUAGUGACUGCAUAGCUGGAGUACGGCAGAGGGGGAUGGAAUUCCGCGUGUAGCAGUGAAAUGCGUAGAUAUGCGGAGGAACACCGAUGGCGAAGGCAAUCCCCUGGGCCUGUACUGACGCUCAUGCACGAAAGCGUGGGGAGCAAACAGGAUUAGAUACCCUGGUAGUCCACGCCCUAAACGAUGUCAACUGGUUGUUGGGUCUUCACUGACUCAGUAACGAAGCUAACGCGUGAAGU